rnacentral:rRNA from 1 species
CAGCGCCGCGGGAAUACGAAGGGUGCAAGCGUUAAUCGGAAUUACUGGGCGUAAAGCGCACGCAGGCGGUUUGUUAAGUCAGAUGUGAAAUCCCCGAGCUUAACUUGGGAACUGCAUUUGAAACUGGCAAGCUAGAGUCUUGUAGAGGGGGGUAGAAUUCCAGGUGUAGCGGUGAAAUGCGUAGAGAUCUGGAGGAAUACCGGUGGCGAAGGCGGCCCCCUGGACAAAGACUGACGCUCAGGUGCGAAAGCGUGGGGAGCAAACAGGAUUAGAUACCCCGGUAGUCCCUGUCUCUUAUACC